rnacentral:lncRNA from 1 species
GAGGAUUUACAUAUAACAACUUGUUGGUUUGAUGUCAAUAAACAUCUCAACGUACAUGAUUGUCGGUCAUACAAUUAACUUUAGAUAUUUAAAAAAAAUUCCUCAAGUCCAUUUUCUAUGAACCAAAAGAACAUUACUUUGAAUAAUUUUUUAUAGUUGUCAUAAUAGAAAAAGAUUGCUCAUCCAAAAUAUAUAUGGCAAAUUCUAU